GACUAUACUUCCUCUCAAGUAAGGAAGGAUCUGUUCUAGGCUUCUCUCCUAGCUACUGGUAUUCCUUGGUUUGUGUAACCAACGUGGUCUUCUCCUUGUACAUGUGUCUAUGUCCAAAUUUCCCCAAUCGGGACUCUACUCCAGACCUCGUCUUAGCUAAUCACAUCUGCAAUGACCUUAUAGUCAAAUGCAAAGCCCUGACCUUACAGAAAUGAAAGUUGAUUCAUCAUGCUAUGCUGAUGAUGAAGAGAAAUGAACUAUGCAAGUCAUCCUUAACUUCUCUGGUUCAGCUGCUUUCUUCUCUGAACUAUUUCAGCACCACUAUUCUAAAUAAGACUUGGUCCUCUGAAGGGAACAGACUGAGCUGAGUGAGAAAGAUGUUCAAAUGAUGCUAUCUUGUCAUAAGGAAGCAGUCAUGACAGUGUGUUAAAGAAUACUGACCUCUAACCAAUAACGACUUGACAUGGCUCAUUCCUCUGCUGACCUGCUGUGGCUGCUAAUAGCCUAACAGCAGCUACUGGUGUGAAGCAUUAAACCAUGAAGAGAGAAAAAAAAUCUAACACUCAUGAUCCCUUCAUUUAAAAACUGUCGGGAGUGGUAUUGAACCAAGUUCCCUAAGACUAACCAGCUGUUCCAUAAAUAUAAUUAACCUUGGUACUUAGAAGUUA